rnacentral:misc_RNA from 1 species
AGCUCUUUUCUACGACGCAUCCAAAAGAAUAGCGCCAAAUCAGCGAAUUCCGGAGUUCGUUCCGUAAAUAAUCUGUAAAUUUUGGCGAUAAUGGGGGAAAACUUCGAAUCGUACACCCCACAGUUGCUCAAAAAUCCCUUGUCCUAUUCGGAUCUCGUGAAAAAGGGCGUUGAGUUCGAGGUCGACAAUUCGCACCCGAACCAUGCCAGGGAUCUGGGUCUUGACAGCGACAGCGACUACGAGGAUGCGCUGGAUGUGGACGGUGAGGAGCUACGUUCCCCGUGGACAUAUUCCUUCGACGAACUGCGUGCGCUGAUGAGCGAGAUCGACGAAAACAUUUACAAGCGGAUCACUCGCACUGGUCACGUGGAUCGGGAGGCGGUGCCGAACAAGGCAAGGGUCUCGGUUCGGUACAGUGGCUACUGGGAGGGAGAGACUGCUCCCUUCGACUCCUCCCUGCUGCGGGGCACCAAAUUCGAGUUUGAAACUGGCCAGGGAACGGUGGUUGAAGGACUGGAGGCCGCCGUGCGCAGCAUGCGCCCUUACGAGCAGGCCGAGUUCAUUAUCUCCUACAAGCUGCUCUUCGGAGAACUCGGUUGCCCUCCGCGGAUCAAGCCCAAGGCGGAUGCGCUCUUUAAGGUGGAGGUAAUUGACUACUCGCUCAUAGGAGAUGCGAAGGGCAUAGACGCUAUCCCCCAAGAAGACCGCGACAAGUUUUAUGUGGUCUAUCCCAAGGCUGUGGACUUGCACCUACAUGGCAAGGACUCAGUGAAGCGAGGACGCUAUAGGAGUGCGGCAACUGCCUUCGAACGGGCGGUGAGCUCACUGAAUUACUGCCGAUUGGCCAAUGACGAGGAGGAGCGCAAGCAAACUGAAAUGCUUAUUACCCUGAACCAAAACCUGAUGAUCGUUUACAACAAGAUGGACAAGCCGAAGCGCGCCUGCAUCAUGAUGAAGGCCUUACGGCACCUGACCCUGGGCACUCCGUCUUGCAAGGCGCUCUUCCAGGAGGGACGCGCCCUGGCCGCUCUGGGCGAGUACGACUUGGCCCGCAACGCUUACCUGCAGGCGCAGGCCAAGCAGCCGGAGAACAAGGAGAUCAGCGAUGAGAUUAUCAGCAUGAACAAGAGGAUCAGCAAGUAUGAGGAGGCCAGUCGCGAUAUAUGGGCACGUGCCCUCUCGUUAAAUAACUCAAAGUCAGACGUCCGCAAAACUCCUGCUCAGCUGGAGAAGGAGGCAAAGGAAAAGGAUUUCAAUGACAAAAUGGAAGAUUUGAUUAUGCGGUUCAAGAACACUUCAAAUCAACAAGUGAGCUUUUCACGUAAAUCCUAUUCGAACGCUCAGUUCGACACGACUUGCGAAUUGGCCAAGAAACACAACCUGAAGCUUACUUUGUCUCCGAUCCAAGAGGAUGUUCUGACAUUGUCUAAGCCGGAUGUCAAGUUCGCUUGAGCUUACUGAGGAGCCCCAGUAUUUUCAUAGCUUAUUCCAAAAUAGGAAACAAACCAUACCAAACAUGAAGAGCAACGUAAACCUUAAGUUGUUACAAACUACAAUAAAAGCAAUGUACGGCAGCUACAUAAUCCUCAGGUACUA